UACGUAGGAGGCGAGCGUUGUCCGGAAUUACUGGGCGUAAAGGGCGCGUAGGCGGCUCAUGAAGGCUGUGGUGAAAGUCCGGGGCUCAACCUCGGAUCGGCCGUGGCGACUCGUGGGCUGGAGCACUGUAGAGGCGGGUGGAAUUCCGGGUGUAGCGGUGGAAUGCGUAGAGAUCCGGAAGAACACCAGUGGCGAAGGCGGCCCGCUGGGCAGUGGCUGACGCUGAGGCGCGACAGCGUGGGGAGCAAACAGG
rnacentral:rRNA from 1 species